CCGAGUUCCGACAGAGCCCAGCGAUGUUUUGGUCCACCAGUGGCGCAGAUGAAGGACAAGUCAUCGUUGGGACACGUACGCGGGCCGUAACGUCGUCGUAGCGUAGGCCACGGCUCCGCCGCCGCCGCCGCCGCCGCCUGCGGGGUCGCUUCAAGUAACUCCGCUCCGCUCCGUUGCCACUUUCCACUUUCAAGAUCGGGACUGGCCAUGGAGCUUGGAUGGAGUCCUUCCCGGGGAAGUCAACGCCGACCGCGCCCCAGGAGUCUGAGCUCAGGGGGACCGGGUCGGCGUUUCCAAGGAAAUAGAUUAUCAAGGCGACCAUGAGAGAAGUGGUUGAGGCAACUCCAGUAGCGAUGAUGAGUCCUGCAAAGCUGUCAAAGUACUCUGUUUAUUCUGUGCAACCAUUUAAAUGGAGCGCGAGCGCAACAGCUUUAUAGACUUUCAAGUGGUUUGCUGUGUUCAAAAUGCCAAACUUCCAAGAUACAAGUGUGCAAACAGUACAUAAUCAAGUAAACACGUACUCUGUCGAGUGUCAAAAUCCAUAUAAGGAUGACACUCACCUUCAGAUGCAGCUUGGACAUCAUCACUCAAGGAGUCGCUAACGUGGAGGACGAUCCGUGUGGUGUAGUUCGGAUGGACAACAUAGAAAUCCUCGACAGCAAUUGAAAUGCUGUUCCUGUCAAGAAUUCAAAAUUGUUUGCUCUCCAUUUGAGGUUUUCUUCAUUGCUAGUGGCUCACUCUCUACUUGAACUUUCAAAGGCUCGGCAACCUUAAAUUCAGGUGGCAUCAUAUUUCCUUCGUUGAAUUGACAAGUAAGUGAGCCAAAGACCUGCAAGUUGAACGCCGCAGUCUCGUGUGGGUGCAAAUGCAAGUGAAAUUUCCCUGUGACUUCCAGUAGCAGACCGGGGCUUCUCAGUGAUAACUGGGUGAAUCGCUCAGCCUUGACCCAGCACGGUAUGAACAGAAAUGAAAUCUGCGAGGAAGUCUAAGCGUGUGUAAAACACGUACUCCAUCUGUCCCAUGAAGAGUGCAUUUCUAGAUUUGAAAAAAAAUCCCUUGAAUUAAUGUGAAGAGUACGUAUUUUGUCUGUAUGUCUACGUGUUUGGAGGGAAUGCUAUGUUGGUGUUGAACCUUGCAGAUCUUUGGCCGUCUCGAAAAUCCCUUGAAUUAAUGUGAAUAAUGCGUAAUUUCAUACUAUAA